UACGUAGGGUGCAAGCGUUGUCCGGAAUUAUUGGGCGUAAAGAGCUCGUAGGCGGUCUGUCGCGUCGGAUGUGAAAAUCAGGGCUCAACCCUGGACCUGCAUUCGAUACGGGCAGACUAGAGUUCGGUAGGGGAGACUGGAAUUCCUGGUGUAGCGGUGAAAUGCGCAGAUAUCAGGAGGAACACCGGUGGCGAAGGCGGGUCUCUGGGCCGAAACUGACGCUGAGGAGCGAAAGCGUGGGGAGCAAACAGG
rnacentral:rRNA from 1 species